rnacentral:tRNA from 1 species
GUUUAAUUAGUUUAAGUAAAACAAAGGUUUUGUAAAUCUUAUAUCUAUAUAUUAAAA